rnacentral:tRNA from 1 species
GCCUGGGUGGCUCAGUGGGUUAAGCAUCUGACUUUAACUCAGGUCAUGGGCUCACGGUUAGUGGGUUCGAGCCCCAUGUCAGGCU